UACGGAGAGUGCAAGCAUUAAUCGUAAUUAUUGGGCGUAAAGGGCGCGUAGGCGGGAGAAUAAGUCAGAUGUGAAAUUCCAAAGCUCAACUUUGGAGCUGCAUUUGAAACUAUAAUUCUAGAGGAUUGACGGGGAAAACGGAAUUCCACGUGUAGCGGUGAAAUGCGUAGAUAUGUGGAAGAACACCUGUGGCGAAAGCGACUUACUGGACUGUAACUGACGCUGAGUCACGAAAGCGUGGGUAGCAAAC
rnacentral:rRNA from 1 species